rnacentral:misc_RNA from 1 species
AAGUCGUAACAAGGUUUCCGUAGGUGAACCUGCGGAAGGAUCAUUAACACGUAUCCACGUAUCAACCAACUGUGCACUUGUUUUCAACUCUCCCUGCUCGGUACAUGAAUUGAAGAGAAUUUAGUAAUGUUGAGGAGUCUCUCGGGACUCAGCUAUCUUCUCUAACUUGACUUCGGUCAGACAAUUGUAGUACUGCGGUCAGGCAACCUUCUGCUUACAACCUUCUCUCAUCUGAAGGGAGUAGUGGAAUUAAACACACAUUUCACCCUAUUUUUGCUAGUUGACUUUUAUAUGUUGUCUUAUUCGAUACUUCGGUAUUGCGUAAUUCACACGUUUAUUAUUUGAACGUUAAAUUUACAACUCUUAGCAAUGGAUAUCUUGGUUCUC